AGAGAGAGACAUGCGCGCAUAUCAAUAAGCGGAGGAAAAGAAACUAACAAGGAUUCCCUUAGUAACGGCGAGUGAAGCGGGAAGAGCUCAAAUUUGAAAUCUUCAAGGUUUUACCUUGACGAAUUGUAGUUUAAAGAAGUGUUUUCUGCUGGAGUUUUGGUAAAAGUUCUUUGGAAUAGGACAUCAUAGAGGGUGAGAAUCCCGUAUUUGACCAUUAUUUUCAGCUUUGUGAUACACUUUCAAAGAGUCGGAUUGUUUGGGAAUGCAGUCCAAAAUGGGUGGUAAAUUUCAUCUAAAGCUAAAUAUUGGCGAGAGACCGAUAGCGAACAAGUACCGUGAGGGAAAGAUGAAAAGAACUUUGAAAAGAGAGUUAAACAGUACGUGAAAUUGUCAAAAGGGAAGCGUUUGACACCAGUGUUGUUUUCUCGAAAAUCAAUUAAAAAAUGGCUAGAUUUUGUAUGUUGUAUUGACCUUUAUAAGCUUCACUGUACACUCUUUUCGUGUCUUUUUUAAUGCACUUUUCGUUUAACAAGUCAACAUCAGUUUCUUUUGUUGUAAAAGGGUCAUUGGAAGGUGGCUUUCUUUUCGGAGAAAGUGUUUAUAACCUUUGGCCUCUGCAAUCGGAGAGACUGAGGUCUGCAGCGUAGACUCUUCGGGGUUAGAUACAUUUGUGCUAAGUUAUAGCUUUUUAUAGACAACUUGUUGACUAUAAUUAGUCUUGUAGCUUACUCGCUUAUGCUAUUUUACCUACGCUUAGGAUGUUGAAGAUGUAGCACAUCAU
rnacentral:rRNA from 1 species